rnacentral:rRNA from 1 species
UGGGGAAUAUUGCACAAUGGGCGCAAGCCUGAUGCAGCCAUGCCGCGUGUGUGAAGAAGGCCUUCGGGUUGUAAAGCACUUUCAGCGGGGAGGAAGGCGUUAAGGUUAAUAACCUUGGCGAUUGACGUUACCCGCAGAAGAAGCACCGGCUAACUCCGUGCCAGCAGCCGCGGUAAUACGGAGGGUGCAAGCGUUAAUCGGAAUUACUGGGCGUAAAGCGCACGCAGGCGGUCUGUCAAGUCGGAUGUGAAAUCCCCGGGCUAAAACUGGGAACUGCAUUCGAAACUGGCAGGGUAGAGUCUUGUAGAGGGGGGUAGAAUUCCAGGUGUAGCGGUGAAAUGCGUAGAGAUCUGGAGGAAUACCGGUGGCGAAGGCGGCCCCCUGGACGAAGACUGACGCUCAGGUGCGAAAGCGUGGGGAGCAAACAGG